AGCUACAGGCUUAACACAUGCAAGUCGAGGGGAAACGAUAUUGGAAGCUUGCUUCCGAUAGGCGUCGACCGGCGCACGGGUGAGUAACGCGUAUCCAACCUGCCCACCACUUGGGGAUAACCUUGCGAAAGUAAGACUAAUACCCAAUGAUAUCUCUAGGAGACAUCUGAAAGAGAUUAAAGAUUUAUCGGUGAUGGAUGGGGAUGCGUCUGAUUAGCUUGUUGGCGGGGUAACGGCCCACCAAGGCAACGAUCAGUAGGGGUUCUGAGAGGAAGGUCCCCCACAUUGGAACUGAGACACGGUCCAAACUCCUACGGGAGGCAGCAGUGAGGAAUAUUGGUCAAUGGACGAGAGUCUGAACCAGCCAAGUAGCGUGCUGGAAGACGGCCCUAUGGGUUGUAAACUGCUUUUAUAAGGGAAUAAAGUGAGUCUCGUGAGACUUUUUGCAUGUACCUUAUGAAUAAGGACCGGCUAAUUCCGUGCCAGCAGCCGCGGUAAUACGGAAGGUCCGGGCGUUAUCCGGAUUUAUUGGGUUUAAAGGGAGCGUAGGCCGGAGAUUAAGCGUGUUGUGAAAUGUAGACGCUCAACGUCUGCACUGCAGCGCGAACUGGUUUCCUUGAGUACGCACAAAGUGGGCGGAAUUCGUGGUGUAGCGGUGAAAUGCUUAGAUAUCACGAAGAACUCCGAUUGCGAAGGCAGCUCACUGGAGCGCAACUGACGCUGAAGCUCGAAAGUGCGGGUAUCGAACAGGAUUAGAUACCCUGGUAGUCCGCACGGUAAACGAUGGAUGCCCGCUGUUGGUCUGAAUAGGUCAGCGGCCAAGCGAAAGCAUUAAGCAUCCCACCUGGGGAGUACGCCGGCAACGGUGAAACUCAAAGGAAUUGACGGGGGCCCGCACAAGCGGAGGAACAUGUGGUUUAAUUCGAUGAUACGCGAGGAACCUUACCCGGGCUUGAAUUGCAGAGGAAGGAUUUGGAGACAAUGACGCCCUUCGGGGCCUCUGUGAAGGUGCUGCAUGGUUGUCGUCAGCUCGUGCCGUGAGGUGUCGGCUUAAGUGCCAUAACGAGCGCAACCCCUCUCCUUAGUUGCCAUCAGGUCAAGCUGGGCACUCUGGGGACACUGCCACCGUAAGGUGUGAGGAAGGUGGGGAUGACGU
rnacentral:rRNA from 1 species